rnacentral:rRNA from 1 species
AUGACAAAGUCAGGGACUCUCACGGUGCGAUUUGCAUACCAUACAGAAUGGGAAUGUCAAUUUGGGCACAAGUUGGAAUCAACGGCUGGAGCUUCAAACCCAUCUUAUACAUGGGACUCGGUAUGGAACUUAGUCUGCCCAGCAAAGAUAAAAAUAUUUAUGUGGCGCGCGCUCCAGAGUGCUAUUCCCUGUCGAUCUAUCCUGGCUAAUAAGCACUUGAAAAUAAAUCCGAGUUGCCCAGCCUGUAACCAGGGGCAUGAUGACAUAAGACAUAUGUUGUUCGAAUGCAAAUUGGCAAUGGACGUGUGGAAGAUGCUCGGUCUUGAGCUUGUUAUCAAAGAGGCACUGAAAGUUGACAAGGCAGGUGAGCUUGUGUUGGCACGUCUUCUGUGCAGAACAACAAAUCCAAGUGUUGGGCUUGCGAAGUUCAGAGAAACGAUGGCAACGACGGCUUGGUAUUUGUGGUAUGAAAGGCGAAAAUUGACACAUGACGAAGAAACUCAAAGCGCAUAUCAAAUCAAUAUGUCAGUGAGAGGCUUAGUAGCAAAUUAUACCAUCUCUUACAGCCCAAAGGCUCAGGUAUGUUCAGAUGCUUGGUUGAAACCAAAGUAUGGUUACGUGAAAUUAAAUGUUGACGUGGGAUUUGAUAGUGACACACUUGCAACAACAUUUGGAGCAGUUAUCCGGGACCAUAGGGAGAAAUUUAUAGCGGCUGCUAAUGAAAAGAUGGACAUUUGCUUCGACUCGUUCACAGCAGAAGCAAUUGCAGUGAGGUUUGGUUUGAAUCUUGCUAAUACCAUCGGAUGUAGUAAGAUUAAAGUGAAUUCGGAUAGCGUGGAGGUGGUGAAUGCUUUGAGCCAAGGCUACUCUUCUUCAGUCGCUUCAUCCAUUAUAGAUGACUGUUAUUUCAUGUCAUUACGUUUAUUUGUGCCAAGGUUAUUUCAUGCUUUGAGCCAAGGUUUUUCUCAUGUCAUUUAUGAUUAUUGUAAUAGGGAACGUAAUCGAGUAGCUCAUGAACUAGCAAGGUUAGCUAGGUUUUCUUCUCCGAGGGUUUGGAUGGAUAACGCCCCUGAUGAGGUUAUCCCUUUACUUGUAAACGAUGCUACUUUACUUAUAAAUGAAUAA